rnacentral:rRNA from 1 species
AAUCAACGCUGGCGGCGCGCUUAACACAUGCAAGUCGAACGAGAAAGGGUAGCAAUACCUGAGUAAAGUGGCGUACGGGUGAGUAACACGUGGAUUAUCUACCUUUUAGUGGGGAAUACCUCCGGGAAACUGGAGACAAUACCGCAUAAGUCUGAAAAGAGAAAGCCGAAAGGCGCUGAAAGAGGAGUCCGCGGCUGAUUAGCUAGAUGGUGGGGUAAUGGCCCACCAUGGCGAAGAUCGGUAGCCGGCCUGAGAGGGCACACGGCCACACUGGCACUGAAACACGGGCCAGACUCCUACGGGAGGCAGCAGUGGGGAAUCUUGCACAAUGGAGGAAACUCUGAUGCAGCGACGCCGCGUGAGUGAUGAAGCCCUUC